rnacentral:rRNA from 1 species
AGAUUGAACGCUGGCGGCAUGCCUUACACAUGCAAGUCGAACGGCAGCACGGGAGCAAUCCUGGUGGCGAGUGGCGAACGGGUGAGUAAUAUAUCGGAACGUGCCCAGUCGUGGGGGAUAACGCAGCGAAAGCUGUGCUAAUACCGCAUACCGAUCUAUGGAUGAAAGCGGGGGAUCGC